rnacentral:rRNA from 1 species
CCUACGGGAGGCCGCAGUGAGGAAUAUUGGUCAAUGGGCGCGAGCCUGAACCAGCCAAGUCGCGUGAGGGAGGACGGCCCUACGGGUUGUAAACCUCUUUUGCCGGGGAACAACGGGCGCCACGUGUGGCGUCACUGAGAGUACCCGGAGAACAAGCAUCGGCUGACUCCGUGCCAGCAGCCGCGGUAAUACGGAGGAUGCUAGCGUUAUCCGGAUUUAUUGGGUUUAAAGGGUGCGUAGGCGGAUCGUUAAGUCAGUGGUCAAAUUGAGGGGCUCAACCCCUUCCCGCCAUUGAAACUGGCGUUCUUGAGUGGAAGAGAGGUAUGCGGAAUGCGUGGUGUAGCGGUGAAAUGCAUAGAUAUCACGCAGAACCCCGAUUGCGAAGGCAGCAUGCCGGCUUCCGACUGACGCUGAAGCACGAAAGCGUGGGGAUCGAACAGGAUUAGAUACCCUUGUAGUC